AAGAAUAAAUCCUAAAAUAACGCAGGCGCUUCUGUGGCUCCAAAACACCUUUCGUCUUUAUUUUUUGUUUUCUUUUGUUUUCUUUUUUCCAUUUCCCCAUUGAGUCAAUUUCUAUG
rnacentral:ribozyme from 14 species